rnacentral:rRNA from 1 species
UACGAAGGGGGCUAGCGUUGCUCGGAAUUACUGGGCGUAAAGCGCACGUAGGCGGCGGGUCCAGUCUGAUGUGAAAUCCCGGGGCUCAACCCCGGAACUGCAUUGGAUACUGCCUUGCUAGAGUACUGGAGAGGAAACUGGAAUUUACGGUGUAGCAGUGAAAUGCGUAGAGAUCGUAAGGAAGGCCGGUGGCGAAGGCGAGUUCCUGGACAGUUACUGACGCUGAGGCACGAAGGCCAGGGGAGCAAACGGG